rnacentral:misc_RNA from 1 species
GCAAACUUGGUCAUUUAGAGGAAGUAAAAGUCGUAACAAGGUUUCCGUAGGUGAACCUGCGGAAGGAUCAUUAAUGAAUAAACUUGGUUGGGUUGUUGCUGGCUCCUCUGGAGCAUGUGCACACUCACCAACAGUUUUUCUAAACCCCUGUGCACUUUUUGUAGACUAGGGCUCAUUGACGUUCAAGAAAUUGUUGUGCUUUUAUAGUCAGCAGUUUCAAAAUGUCUGCUUCUAGUCUAUGUUUUACAUUAUACCCCGAAUGCAUGUAAUUGAAUGUAUUGAUGGGCUUUCAAAGGCCUUAAAAUUAUAAUACAACUUUCAACAACGGAUCUCUUGGCUCUCGCAUCGAUGAAGAACGCAGC